rnacentral:rRNA from 1 species
AACGAACGCUGGCGGCAUGCCUAACACAUGCAAGUCGAACGAAGUCUUCGGACUUAGUGGCGCACGGGUGCGUAACGCGUGGGAAUCUGCCCUUGGGUACGGAAUAACUCAGAGAAAUUUGUGCUAAUACCGUAUAAUGUCUUCGGACCAAAGAUUUAUCGCCCAAGGAUGAGCCCGCGUAAGAUUAGCUAGUUGGUGGGGUAAAAGCCUACCAAGGCGACGAUCUUUAGCUGGUCUGAGAGGAUGAUCAGCCACACUGGGACUGAGACACGGCCCAGACUCCUACGGGAGGCAGCAGUGGGGAAUAUUGGACAAUGGGCGAAAGCCUGAUCCAGCAAUGCCGCGUGAGUGAUGAAGGCCUUAGGGUUGUAAAGCUCUUUUACCAGGGAUGAUAAUGACAGUACCUGGAGAAUAAGCUCCGGCUAACUCCGUG